rnacentral:rRNA from 1 species
GAGCUGAUCGUCAUCUGUUUGAUGCAUAUCGAGCGAGAUCUUCGGAUCUAGCGGCGGACGGGUGAGUAACGCGUGGGAACGUGCCCUUUGCUACGGAAUAGUCCCGGGAAACUGGGUUUAAUACCGUAUACGCCCUUCGGGGGAAAGAUUUAUCGGCAAAGGAUCGGCCCGCGUUGGAUUAGGUAGUUGGUGGGGUAAUGGCCUACCAAGCCGACGAUCCAUAGCUGGUUUGAGAGGAUGAUCAGCCACACUGGGACUGAGACACGGCCCAGACUCCUACGGGAGGCAGCAGUGGGGAAUCUUAGACAAUGGGGGCAACCCUGAUCUAGCCAUGCCGCGUGAGUGAUGAAGGCCUUAGGGUUGUAAAGCUCUUUCAGCUGGGAAGAUAAUGACGGUACCAGCAGAAGAAGCCCCGGCUAACUCCGUGCCAGCAGCCGCGGUAAUACGGAGGGGGCUAGCGUUGUUCGGAAUUACUGGGCGUAAAGCGCACGUAGGCGGAUCGGAAAGUUGGGGGUGAAAUCCCGGGGCUCAACCUCGGAACUGCCUCCAAAACUAUCGGUCUUGAGUUCGAGAGAGGUGAGUGGAAUUCCGAGUGUAGAGGUGAAAUUCGUAGAUAUUCGGAGGAACACCAGUGGCGAAGGGCGGCUCACUGGGCUCGAUACUG